rnacentral:lncRNA from 1 species
AGCGUUUCCUUCCACGGCAGCGGCAGCGGUCGCUCUCCUCAAAAUUGAUAGCCAGUGCAGCGUUUUUUCUCCUCCUCCUCCUCUUCCUGCCUCCGCACGGCGCGCUCCCCGGUCCCUGCAACUGCCACAGCUACCGCCUUGGCAGCUGGGCAACUUGGAAGGCUCCCCUGGGAUGGCGGGGGAGUGGGGCGCAUGCCAGAAAGAAAAAGGCAUUUGGAGUCACCCUUACUUCUACUGUCAAGGGGACGUGAAGGAGAGUGUGGUCACAAGUCGCGAGGGUCGCCUGAACCGUCGCUGCAGAUCGGAGACGUGGGUUUCUGGCAGUAUGCAAAGCAAGCGUCCCCUCCCGCCGCUCCUGCGAGCUCUACUACCGAAUGCCUUACGCAGCCCUUGUGUUUGGGGAAAGAGGGGGACCUAUACAGAAUGAAAAAACACAGAGGGCUUUGCUUUUCUUUCCCCACCCCACCGAGCUCGGCCCCCGUGCUUUCUGCGCUGCCAUCUUAGUUCCUCCAGCGGCCGGGCUGGGCGUGUGUGCAUUUGUGUGUACAGGGAGGGCUGCAGCCGGGGGGCGUGGGGGCCGCCUGGGCGGCUUGGGUGUCGGAAUGGGCUAGACAGCAGUUCACCCACGACACAUUCGCCCUCAAAGAAUAGCAUUGAACUACGGCAAAUCCUGCCUGUGCCCAUUUUAUUACGGGCGUAGUAUGUUUUAUUCUUUGUGGUUGGUAUGCUCAUUUCGCAAAAGAGAUCUCUCUGUCCUGUGCCCAUGUAAUAAGACUAUGGCUUCAUCUUUCCCCUUGUGAUCACAGAUUUAGUCGUUCUUUUCCACUUAACAUUGCAAACCUGGACCACAGUUUUUUGAACUCUUAUCACAUUUACAUUUUUCCUACUCUCAUCUUUAACGAUUUUGUUUUUAAAGGAAGCUACCCGUGCUGAUGUAGUAAAUAACAGGGCAGGAACCAUAACGUGUAUAUAAGAGGACAGAUUAGUGUUGUUUCAUUUAAAGGGUUAAUAUUGUACUAAAGCUACAAGACUACAAACACAGGAAGUAUGUAUAUUAUUAGGUACAUCGAGACUGCUGAAAAUGCUGUGGUAAAGUCUGCGUUUGUUUCCUGGAUUUGUACAACAAUGUAUUGGGGAAUUUAAAAACAAAAUUGGUAGCUGAGAACAAUUUGGGAAAAAAAAAAGAAAAAGCUUAGGCUUGAAGAGUGAAGACAUGCUUUACUCUUCAGUGACCUUCUCUUUUUAAGGGUAAUAAGAUAGUGCAUUCUUGACAAAUAUAUUGCACUUUAAAAUAAAGUAUAUUUCAUAGAAUAUAUUUAGUACUCCAAGCUGAAGGGAAAAAUUCAACAUGGCUAUCGAAAUUAUUUUAAACAUAAAUUACAUAUUGCAUCCCCUGGCUAUCUUAACCUCAUGCUUUAAACAACUAUAUUUUUAGGGCCUUGGGAUAUUCAGUAACUUGUAAGCAUGAUGAGUUAAUGUUUUUCUUUUUUAUUCAUGGUAGUUUUAAAAGAUGUAAAUUAUAUGUCCAAGUUUUCCCACAUCCAAAAAUUUAGGUUCCAGGGAUCCUAAGUUAUAUAUUGACAUAUAUUGACAUUUUCAUCCGUGAAAAAUUAUCCUAAAAUAUAUUAGUAUAUGUUUUUUAAGUAUGUGAAUUCAAUACUAUAUAUCUGAAUGCAAAUCACAUUCUUUCAAAAUCUCAUUGUUGUGAUGCAUUUAGCCUAGAGGAUGUUUUCACAACUGAUGUAGAAAGUUAUAUAAAGUAUAAUUGUCCUAAAAACAGAAAGUUUAAAACUAUAGCAUUUCAACCUUGAAAACUUUAGUAUAGUUUAUAAGUUAUUAGAUUAAUCUUUUUUAAAUUUUGUUAUUACUUUAAAAUUUUUUUGUGGGUACAUAGAAGGUGUAUAUAUUUAUAGGAUGCAUGAGAUAUUUUGAUACAGGCAUGCAAUGUGAAAUAAGCACAUGAUGGAGAAUAAGGUAUCCAUCCCCUCAAGCAUUUAUCUUUUGAGUUACAAACAAUCCAGUUACAUUCUUUCAGUUAUUUUAAAAUACACAAUUAAGUUAUUAUUGACUAUAGUCACCCUAUUAUGCUAUCAAAUAGUAGGUCUUAUUCAUUCUUUCUGAUUUUUUUUUUUUGUACCCAUUAACCAUCCCCAUCUCCCCUCCCCAAACUCCUCAUGACUCUUCCCAGCUUCUGGUAACCAUCCUACUCUCUAUGUCCAUAAGUUCAAUUGUUUUGAUUUUUAGAUCCCACAAGCGAGUGAGAACAUGUGAUGUUUGUCUUUCUGUGUCUGGCUUAUUUCACUUAACAUAAUGAUCUGUAGUUCAGUCCAUGCUAUUGUAAAUGACUGGAUCUCAUUCUUUUUAUGGUUGAAUAGUACUCCAUUGUGUAUGUGUGUACCACGUUUUCUUUAUCCCUUUAUAGGGUGAUGGACACUUACAUCAAUAAGUUUGCUUCCAAAUCUUGGCCAUUGUAAACAGUGCUGCAACAAACAGGAGCGCAGACAUCUCUUCUAUAUACUGAUUUUCUUUCCUUUGGGUAUAUACCCAGCAGUGGGAUUGCUGGGUCAUAUGGUAGCUCAAUUUUAAGUUUUUUGAGGAACCUCCAAACUGUUCUUAAUAGUGGUUGUACUUAUUUACAUUCCCACCAACAGUGUUCAAGUGUUCCCUUUUCUCCACAUCCUCGCCAACAUUUGUUAUUGCCUGUCUUUUGGAUAGAAACCAUUUUCUUUGUUGUUGUUUGUUUGUUUUUUGAGACAGUCUCACUCUGUCACCCAGGCUGGACUGCAGUGGCAUGAUCUCAGCUCACUGCAACCUCCGCCUCCCGGGUUCAAGCGAUUCUUGUGCCUCAGCCUGCCAAGUAGCUGGGAUUACAGGCACGCACUGCCGCACCUGGCUAAUUUUUGUAUUUUUAGUAGAGACGGGGUUUCACCAUGUUGGCCAGGCUGGUCUCAAACUUCUGACCUCAGGUGAUCCGCCCCCUCUUGGCCUCCCAAAGUGCUAGGAUUAGAGGCGUGAGCCACCGCGCCUGGCCAUAAGCCAUUUUUAACUGGCGUGAUAUUAGAUUGAUCUUUAUUACUAAAAUUAAAUAGUAAGAGGAUAAUUGAAAUUCUCAUGUAGAAUAGCAACUAUGUCAUAUUAAUGUUUCUUUUAAAUAUAUUUAAUAGGGUUAUUGCCAAAUCCAGAUAACCUGAUAUAACUAAAUGGCUCUAAAAUGACUAUAUUAGUCAUGGUCUUUUUUUUCAAAGACUUUUACCUCUUUCAUGCUACAUCUUCUCAUCAGUAAAGUGAAUAAUAAUAGCACCUACUUCAUUAGAUUAUUUGAGGGUUAAAUUAAAUAAUCUGUAUGACUUACUUGCUUAACAUACUACAUAGCAGGCCAUAGCUAUUAUUGUCAAUAUUAUGUUAAUAUAUUAAUGAUCCCUUAUUUGAGGGAUGUCCUAAUCUUGUGCUAGAAGUAACAAAACAGUUAUACAAUUUGAGUUAUAUAGAUUAGGAUUUGAAAGUUGGUUUUCUUGUUGUUUUCUUAACAAAGAGUCCUGUCCACAAAUAAAGAUUUACUGUGUCUUGACAUGACAGGAAGAAUAGAAUCCAAAGACAAUAGUUGUUUCCCUAAAAUACCCAUUCUUGUAUAAUUUGUUAACUCACAAAACACAUUGCCUACCUUCAUAAAUUCAAUAAGUGUUUUGAAUUUUUACUGAUGGAUACAUUUCGACAUGUAACAGCCAAAACAGACUAUAGUUUCUUCUCAAAAGGCUAGUAGCUAUGGUAUCUCUCCAGAUUCAAAAACUAUAAAUCAUCUAUAAUUUACAUUUUCUGUAGGUUAAUCUGAAUUUAACAUCAAAAUCUUGACCUUGCCUAGUUUGGCUUCCUAUUUUGAUGAAUAUUUCUACAUUUAUAUUUAGAAAGUAAAAAGGAGCCAAUUUACCAGUUCUUCAUAAAAAAUUUUUCUUAAGAAUAUUUUGCCUCUUUUUUGAUAUCAUAUCAGGUUUGCCUUCAAACUAGACCGGAAGCUAUUUUAAAAGUUUUUAGAACAUAAAAGUCAUAAAAAAUAUUUCACAGUCUUCCUAAAUUAACUUGUGGUGACAGAAUUUUCUUGGAUAGACAAAAUAAUCUUACCUAUUUGAUGCCAAAUUGUUGUGAACUGAAUUAAUUACUAAUUUUUGUGGUGCAGCAAAGACAACACUGCUUGCAGAGAAAAACUGUGGCAUCCCUGCAGGUACUUCUAAAGUCUACCUCAGUGUUGGUGGGGUGGUGUGCCAGGAAUCUGCUUAUUUGCUCUUGAGUCCAUUCCUGUCCAUUCUCCUGCUCUGCUCUGUACAGCAGGGGAAGGAUCCCUGCAAAUUCCAUUUGUCAGGCUUCCCUUGCCAGCUAGUUUCAAAUUAGCUUCAGCCUGGGGGCAAAAUGGGUGACUGGCAAGUAGGCAGCAGGAGAAUCAAUUUCUCUCUCUCUCUCUCCCGGCACCCCACCCCCGCCAACUUUAGGCAACAUCUCCUCUGUGGUUCCAGCUCCUGCUGAACAGCUUCUCCUUCCAUGGUCCAGCUGCAAUUAGGUAACCUCUCGUAAAGCCAGUUCUCACUGAGCAGCCCCAGCUUGUGGACCCUGGUAGCAGCGUUUUCUCCUUGGUGUCUCCAGCCCUAGGGAUUGUAGAUAUCUCUGUCCCUUGUUUGGCUUUUCUAUUCCUAGAGUAGCAUUGCAAUUAGUUCCCCAUAUUCAAUUCUCUCUCUUAAUGACCUGGCAUGCAUUUAUCUGUUUUCCUGAUUGGACCCUGAAUGGUACAGAUGGUCUUCCAUCCAAAUAAUAAACCUGAUUUGGUUUCUCAGCCAAAGGAUGGCAUUUUAUCAUCUUUCAUCUGGUCUUGAAAGCUUGCGGAUCUGACAUCAAGCAGCAAAACAGAAAUCUGCUUUGAAAAUAUUAGUUGGCUCACUCACACCCAUUCUAAAUCCCCUUCUUCCUUGCCUGCCUCCAUUCUGGAUGCCGGAAAAAGUGAAAUAUUUUCUCUGUGAGUCUGUCCUGCACCUAGAGUUGGCAUCGUGACACAAUUCAGGACAGCACAGUGAGGGAAAAUCUGCUAGUACUACUUCUCUCUCUCUCCCUUUCUUUCUACCUAAAAGAUGGACAGAAUGGCUGAUGUUCAUAGCCAUGAGACAAGAGGCAUGAGAUAAGGCCAAGAGCAUCAUAAAUAUUGACCCUGACAUCAUAGAACCAUUGAACAAAGUUUCAAACUUAUUUUUAUACAAGGUAAAAAUCAAAUUCCUAAUUGUCUCAGCUACUGUUGAUGAAGUAUUCUGUUGCUUGCAGCCAAAGCAUUCUACCUGAUAUACCAACUCUAGCAUCUUCUCAGGACACAUUCCCUAUCUAGAAUCUAUCAGUAAUCUGUCCGAAUGAAAUAUGUAUUUAUGGAAAAUACUUAAAAGCAUAAAAACCCAUUCAUUCCCCUGGGUCCUAAAUUUUCUUCCUUUAAUCAAGUCAAAACAUCAGAAAGUUCACUGAACUGUAUUUUAUAUGAUGCCUUUGGAUUUUAUUAAAGAUUACUAUAGUGUGCCUCCCAGAUACCCCUUCAGGUAUGAGGCUCUUAUUCCCCAGCUGUUGAGAGUGUUGACUGCUGGCUGCUCAAAGCUAAACCCCUGCCCAUAAGUUGCUCUUGGCCUUGGGGAACUGCCUUAUGCCAGGUUACAACCCCUCUCCAGAGGGUGCCUGCAUCAAAUAACUGGUCAAAGUGAUAUACAAAGACAAGGCACUCUUACCUUAAUUCAGAAUGAUUUUGAAGAGCCAUUCCAGCUCUUAGAACUCUGUGCAAUUAGCUAAGGCCUCUGUUGCAGUUACAUUACAGUUCCAUUUUUCUCUCUCAACCAAUCCUGCUUUUCUCACUCAUUCACUAGUAGUAUUGUCAGAACUCCACAAUAAACUUCUUGUAUGCCAGUCUACAUCUGUUUCCCAAUCUCUUUCCCAGGGAGCCCAACUUAAUUCAGUUGUAAGGGGAGUGGUCUGAAGAACCAGAGUCUGAAAUGGAAUUUUGGAGCUGGAUUAUCCACUGGUUAGGUGGCAGUGAGGGCCCCCUGUAAUGGACAGUUUCUAAGGUGACCUCGUCAUGAUCUCUAUAUCCUAAUAUCUCUGUUUUUGUAUAAACUUUUCCUCUUGUGUGUGGGUAGGACCUGCAAAUUCCUCCUAAACAAUAGAAUAUGGCAAAAGUGACAGGAUGUACUUGAUUAUAUUUAUGUAAUUGAGUUGCAUACUACUGUAACUAUGUUGCUGGGACCAUCUCUCCCUUAGUGGCUUUGAAGAAGCAAGUUGGCAUUUUGUAAGCCAUCACACAGAGAGGUUCAUAUGAUAAAGGGGUUAAUGGUAGCUUCUGACCAACAGCCAAAGAGGAACUGAGUCCUCAGCCUGGCAGCCUGCAAGGAAUUGAAUUCUGACAAAUACCAUAUGAGUUUGGAUGUGGUUCCUUUCCAGUUGAGCCUCAGAUGAACUGCAUCCCCAGCUGACAUCUUGAUUAGAGCCUUGCAGAGGACAGUGAUAAGUCAUGCCCAGACUCCUGAUACACAGCAACUAGAAGACAGUGUCAUUUUAAGUUUGUGGUAAUAUUGUUAUGCAGCAAUAGAAAACUAAUAGGCUAUCACUGAUGAUGGAUGGAUAGAAUAUGGAGCAUUGAUAGCCCUGACAUGUGGUAAGUGUAGCUGUGCAAUUGCUGAAACUUUCACUGGAGAUGGCUAGGCUGGGAGACCUGUGGAUGUGAAUGCGCCUGCAGGUGCAGUAGCUCAAGUUUUGAGAGGUUCAAGGAAGGUGUUAGUUAUAAAGUUAGUGGAAUUAGAUUCCCCUUGUUGAGUGCAUAGAUGUCUGAGGCAUGCCAGAUACCUCCUACAAGUUAAAGGGUAAAUUAUCUCAUCUUGUUCUUCCUAUCUUUUUUCUUUAUUUUCUGAAGGCACAAUAUUUACUUGAAAAUAUUGCUUUGAGGCAUUUCUUGAAUGACACAGAUGACUGACAGCUUUAAGUGAAGCCCAGAACAGAAAAAAAAUUCUGCAUCAUUUCUAGGCUGUGUGAAAAGCACUUCUGCUCCUUGGGCCAUACGACGUUACAGAACCUAUGAAAUUACAGAUGUCAGUGACAGGAAAAGAUGCUUUGGAAUUAAUGGGAAGUUUCAGUGGGAAAAUCACAAAGAAGAGCUUAAGGACUCUGGAGCAAAACCAUGUGAUCUUUAGCAAAAACAUUAUGCACUGUUUGAAAAAUGGCUCUUGGCAUACUAUUUGAGCUCUGAGAGAGACAGAAUAUCUCCCCUUGAGAUGUCAGGUGAUCACAAGAUAUGUCAAGUGGCUAGGACCACCCACUGGGAGCUGCGUUUUGUCAGACCACCAACUCAUAAGGUCCAGUGGGCCCAAUGUCUACCUAUGAUAAAGUGGAGGUGAUAUACCCAGAACUGGGUAUGGGCUGGCCAUAGCACAAGUAAGCUGCAUGAGGAUGAGGCCAGACGCCUAUAUUGUCCCCCACUGUUGCACUGGUGCCUGUCUCUAAGCUCAAAUAUAUGGCUGUUUGGGUAGGGGAGGGAAAAAGUUGAGCUUGUUUCAUGCGUUGGCUGGCUUGGGAAGUGGAAGCAGGCUGAAAAUGGACAGCUGUUGCACUGUGAUCCUGACAGUGCAGGAUCACUAGAUAGUGAUCAGGCAAAAUCCUCUCAAUGGUUCAGACUUUAUGCAGUAUACAUUCUCAUUCAUUUUACACAUAAGAGAAGUAGUCUGAAGUAAGAAUAUGUAAUACUCGUGGUAGUGGCAGAUGUCUUGGCUCUUUGGUUGAGGGACUGAAAGUUAGAAGAUUGGGAAGAAGAAGGUCUGUAAAAGAGGUAGGUGAGUGGACUUGUUGGAGUGAGCACAAAGCAUGAAUAUCUUUGAAUCAGUCUCAUGAUGAUGCCUCUCAGAUCGCAUCUCACCUGGAAGAGUCAGUGAACAAUCACAUAGACAGGACGAUUCCACCAGUUGAAGUUACUCUCUGUUUUUGUCCACCUGAUGGUGGCACAAAAGGCACAUGGAUGGAGUAGCUCUGGUGCAGAGAUGGAGGCUCUAUAGGGUGGCAAGGACGGAGGUUAUGCAUGGAACUUGCAGCAAGGACUGUCACUGAGCAAUGCUGAUCUAGCUACUGCUACUGCCAAAUGCACAAACUGCCAGCAAAAGAGACUAACAUUAAGCCCUUAAGACAGCAUGAUCCCUCAAGGAGACCAGCCAGGCACUGGCUGGAUAGUUGAUUACGUUCCACCUUGGAAGGGUCAGUGAUUUAACUUGACUGAGAUUAGUACCUAUUCUGAUAUAGGUUUGCCUUCUUUGGCCACAGGACUUUCAUUGGCCAGCACCAUUAUCUGAAGACUCACAUAGAUAUGGGAUCCUGAAAAGCAUUGUCUCAGACCAAGAAGCCCACUUACCUUAUGGUAUCUGAUGUGUGACAGUAGAUACAUGUCUGUGGUGGGCUGAAUAAUGCCCCCCGUCCCAAGAUGUCCAUGUUAUAAUCCUCAGAACGUGUAAAUAUGUACCUUUACGUGGCAAAAGGGUCUCUGCAGAUGUGAUUAAGUUAAGCAUCAUCUUCGGAUGGAGAGAUUAUCCUGGCUUAUCCAGGUGGGCCCAUAUAAUCACAAGAGUUCUGAUAAGAGGGAGGCAGGCGGGUGAGAGUGAGAGAAAGUGAUGUGACUACAGAAGCGGAGUCAGAGAAGAAGAUGCCGUGAUGGAGUGGAGGUGCAAGAGAAAGAGAAAGAUCUGAAGGUGCUACGCUGCUGGCUUUAAAGGUGGAGGAAGGGCCAGGAGCCAAGAAAUGCAGGUGGCCUCUAGAAGCUGGAAGAGAUCAGGAAAAAAAUUCUCCCCUAGAACCCGUGAAGGAAAUGUAGCCUUAUUUACAUCUUGAUUUUAGGACUUCUGACCACCAGAAAUACAAGAUAGUUUGUUUUAAUCCAGUAAAUGUGUCGCAGUGGCAAUAGGAGACUGAUAAAAUGUCCAUUGGAUCCACUUAUCCUAUUACCUAAAAUGCCACCCAGAACCUGCUGUUGAUGGAAUAGUGCUGUGGUCUUUUGAAGGUCUCAUUGAGGCACAGCUACACAUAGUAGACUUUAAGUGAACACCUAUUCUGUGAUGCUGUGUUUCUGAUAGAAUAUAUGAGUUCAGGAGUCCAGAGUGGAAGUGGUAGUAGCUCUACUUUCAGUGACCUCUUAGAGAAUUUGUGGUUUCUGUUCUGCUCAGGCUCCCGGUUCCAAAAGGUGUAACACUUCCACCAGAGGACCUAGUAAGAACCCCAUUGGACUUUAAGUUAUGGUUGCUUUCAGUCGCUUCAGGCCCUUCAGUCCAAGAGACCAGCAGAUAAAGAAAGGAGUCCUACACUGGCAGGUAUAAGUGACCUCUAUUAGCAGGAGUAGAUAGGGCUGCCAUUACAUAUGGCCACAGAGAAGAAUAUGUCUAGCACUUAGGUGAUCCAUGACUGUGUCUCUUGAUACUCCUUACUUAAUUUUGACAUUAAAUGAACAAGUACAGUCACCAUGGUCUGAGAAGGGCAUGGUGACCAGCGGCUCAGAUUUCUGAGAUGAGAGUGUGGGUAAUUCUGUUCAUAGGCUCUCUAGACUAGCAGGGGUUCUAGCUGAAGGAGAAAUCAAUCUAGGACGCAUGUGGAAGAAAGGCAUUAUGAGUUUCAGUUGUAGCACUGAAACCAGCUACAGCAACAAGGGCUCCAGUUCAUACCAUGUGUCUUCCUCUUUUAGGUUUCAACAGGAAAAAACAAACAACUACCCACAGUCCUGGACAUAGGAUGAACUCUCUAGAGAAGCAAGUGGGUCUGAGCAAUGCUGGGGAUGGACUGUAAUGGAUUUCGCAGUGUAUUGCCCGGAUUGCUCUCUUGGGAGCGAGUCCCUUAUUUCCCAGCUGUCAGAAGUGUUGGCUGCCGACAGCUCACAGCUGAGCCCUUUGCUGAGACUUGUCCUCAGCUGACGACUGCUUCCUGGCUUAUGGUCAUGUCACCUCCCUGAGGUGCAGUUUGCUUCAAGUGACUUAACAUUGCAGUGGUACAAAGACCUAGUCCUGUCCCCCUAAUGUGGAGACAACUCCAAGGGCCAGGCCAAUUCCAGAACUCCCUGUGAGUUUGGCUGAUACCUCUGUUUUUAAUUGAUCCUCAGUUCACUUCUCCCUCUAUCUAAUUCUGCUUCUCUGACAUCUUUACAGGUUGUGUUCCUGAGUAUACUUGCUAGUAACCUUCCUGCAUACAAGUUUUUGUUUCAGAGCCAGUUUCCUGGGGGAACUGAAACCUAGACAAUUAUAAUGAGUAAAGGACAUAAUCUGUCAUUUCACCUGCUUAAAAUAAUGAUGACAUUAUUUAUGACAUCGUGUCAUGACCCAAAUUUCUCACCUUAGGAUUUUGUUUUAGAAUUAAGUACUCACGAAGACACUACUUUCCUGAAAACCUGUUCUCUCCCUUUAUUAAUGAAAAACUAGACAAUUGAUCAUUAUUCCCUUUAUAUUUGGCUACUGAGAGAAUAAACUUGAUAUUUUGUUACAGUCCUUCCCCAAAUUCUGAAAAAGUUGUUAAAACAUCUGUAGCAAAUGGAAGCAGAUAUCACUUUUAUUACAAUAACGGUUAAGUGGGAGGAUAGAGCUUAAUGUAAAGCUAAGAAAGCUCUCUCCUCUAAACCUCAAAUGCUAGCAAUUUUAUCCAUCCACUCACUUUAGUACAGGCAGGGCAGUUCUCCCUAUGCAACAGGGAGGAAAUUGCCUGCUCCUCGAAGGCUCCUACCUCCUCGUUGGAUGAAAAGAGGAAGGGGAUAUAGGCUAUUGAUGCCUGAUUUCUCCUUCCUAACUCAACAAUAAAAUAAGUUGUUACAUUUCGCUACCAAUAUUCUAUCAUUGUUGUUCUCCCAAUGAUAGAAUGUAGCUGGGCACCAUGAACAAAGGAUACCAAUUAGGCAGUUACUGCUGUAGUUCAACAUGACCCCAUUGAGGGCCUCAAAGAAAACAGUUGGUAUAGAGAAAAGAGGGCCCUUUGGGAAGUUUCAUGCACAGGAAAAAAGUGACUGAUCUAACGUGGGUGGGGAAAAUGGAGACUCCUAGUAGGACCCCAGAUUCUGGAUGGAUAAUGGUUUCAUCGAGAUGAGGAGUCCAGGAAAAGGAGGAGAUUUUGGGAUGGGAGAUGAAGAGUGCUCUUUAUCUUCGCUAACUUGUUUCCUGGUCUGAUAAGAAUUUGAGGAAAUAUAUUUAGAGAACAUGAUCACUCCUCCACUUAUACACAUUAUACACAUACCUCUGCCACUGAUUUUGGGCUCAAUCCAACCUAUUCUCCACACUAUUGUGAUCUUUUAAAGCUGUACCAUAUGCAAUGAAAUGUAAUUUGGCAAUAAAAAAGAAUGAAAUACUGAUGCACGUUGCAACAUGAAUAAACCUUGAAAAUAUGUUGCUGAGGUUGAGGCCAAUCUCUCCCAGUCACUGCAGACUCUGUUGUAGUAGUCUCUAUACCUAUUGAAAUCAUGCUGAAUACAGUCUUUCUUACCAAGGGAAAAAAAGAAUAUAAUGCUAAGUGAAAGAAGCCAGACACAAGAGGCUACAUAUUGUGUGGGUCCACUUAUAUGAAACAUCCAGAGUCAGCAGAUCCACUGAAACAGACUGUGUAGACUAGUGGUUCCAGUGGCUGGGCGGGGAGGGGAUGGAGAAGAGUUUGGGGAGUGACUGCUUCAUGGGUAUGAGAUUUGUGUGUGUAGGUUGGUGGUGGGGGCAGGGUGGUGAUGAAAAUA